rnacentral:rRNA from 1 species
UACGUAGGGUGCAAGCGUUGUCCGGAAUUACUGGGCGUAAAGCGUGCGCAGGCGGUUGUGCAAGACAGAUGUGAAAUCCCCGGGCUUAACCUGGGAAUUGCAUUUGUGACUGUACGGCUAGAGUGUGUCAGAGGGGGGUAGAAUUCCACGUGUAGCAGUGAAAUGCGUAGAGAUGUGGAGGAAUACCGAUGGCGAAGGCAGCCCCCUGGGAUGACACUGACGCUCAUGCACGAAAGCGUGGGGAGCAAACAGG